ACCUACGGGGGGCAGCAGUGGGGAAUAUUGCACAAUGGGGGGAACCCUGAUGCAGCGACGCCGCGUGGGUGAGGAAGUACUUCGGUAUGUAAAGCCCUAUCCGCAGGGAAGAAAAUGACGGUACCUGACUAAGAAGCCCCGGCUAACUACGUGCCAGCAGCCGCGGUAGUACGUAGGGGGCAAGCGUUAUCCGGAUUUACUGGGUGUAAAGGGAGCGUAGACGGUAUGGCAAGUCUGAAGUGAAAGCCCCGGGCUCAACCUGGGAAUUGCUUUGGAAACUGUUAAACUAGAGUGCUGGAGAGGCA
rnacentral:rRNA from 1 species